rnacentral:rRNA from 1 species
AUGAACGUUGGCGGCGUGGAUUAGGCAUGCAAGUCGAACGGGCCGCAAGGCCAGUGGCGAAAGGGAGAGGAAUACGUAGAUACCCACCCUCAGGUCCAGGAUAGCCGCGGGAAACUGCGGGUAAUACUGGAUAAUAUCUCCGGAUCAAAGGUGUGAUUCCGCCGGAGGACGGGUCUGCGUCCUAUCAGCUAGUUGGUGAGGUAAUGGCUCACCAAGGCUAUAACGGGUACUGGGUGUGAGAGCACGACCCAGCUCACUGGGACUGAGAUACUGCCCAGACACCUACGGGUGGCUGCAGUCGAGAAUCUUCGGCAAUGGGCGCAAGCCUGACCGAGCGACGCCGCGUGUGGGAUGAAGGCCUUCGGGUUGUAAACCACUGUCGGGGGGGAUGAAAUACUUAAGAGUUAUCUCUUAGGCUUGACAUAUCCUCGGAGGAAGGACGGGCUAAGUUCGU